CAUAUCAAUAAGCGGAGGAAAAGAAACCAACAGGGAUUGCCCUAGUAACGGCGAGUGAAGCGGCAACAGCUCAAAUUUGAAAUCUGGCGCAAGCCCGAGUUGUAAUUUGUAGAGGAUGCUUCUGGGUAGCGGCCGGUCUAAGUUCCUUGGAACAGGACGUCAUAGAGGGUGAGAAUCCCGUAUGUGACUGGCUUGCACCCUCCACGUAGCUCCUUCGACGAGUCGAGUUGUUUGGGAAUGCAGCUCUAAAUGGGAGGUAAAUUUCUUCUAAAGCUAAAUACCGGCCAGAGACCGAUAGCGCACAAGUAGAGUGAUCGAAAGAUGAAAAGCACUUUGGAAAGAGAGUUAAAAAGCACGUGAAAUUGUUGAAAGGGAAGCGCCCGCAACCAGACUUUGCGGCAGUGUUCGGCCGGUCUUCUGACCGGUUUACUCGCUGUCGUGAGGCCAUCAUCGUCUGGGACCGCUGGAUAAGACCUUAGGAAUGUGGCUCCCCUCGGGGAGUGUUAUAGCCUCUGGUGAUGCAGCGCGUCUCGGGCGAGGUCCGCGCUUCGGCAAGGAUGAUGGCGUAAUGGUUGUCGGCGGCCCGUCUUGAAACACGGACCAAGGAGUCUAACAUCUAUGCGAGUGUUCGGGUGUCAAACCCCUACGCGUAAUGAAAGUGAACGGAGGUGGGAACUUUUUGUGCACCAUCGACCGAUCCUGAUGUCCUCGGAUGGAUUUGAGUAAGAGCAUAGCUGUUGGGACCCGAAAGAUGGUGAACUAUGCCUGAAUAGGGUGAAGCCAGAGGAAACUCUGGUGGAGGCUCGCAGCGGUUCUGACGUGCAAAUCGAUCGUCAAAUUUGGGUAUAGGGGCGAAAGACUAA
rnacentral:rRNA from 1 species